rnacentral:rRNA from 1 species
AUCUUCCGCAAUGGACGCAAGUCUGACGGAGCAACGCCGCGUGAGUGACGAAGGCCUUCGGGUCGUAAAACUCUGUUGUCAGGGAAGAACAACCGGGAUGACCUCCCGGUCUGACGGUACCUGAUCAGAAAGCCCCGGCUAACUACGUGCCAGCAGCCGCGGUAAUACGUAGGGGGCAAGCGUUGUCCGGAAUUAUUGGGCGUAAAGCGCGCGCAGGCGGUUUCUUAAGUCUGGUGUGAAAGCCCGCAGCUCAACUGCGGAGGGCCACUGGAAACUGGGAAACUUGAGUGUAGGAGAGGAGAGCGGAAUUCCACGUGUAGCGGUGAAAUGCGUAGAGAUGUGGAGGAACACCUGUGGCGAAAGCGGCUCUCUGGCCUAUAACUGACGCUGAGGCGCGAAAGCGUGGGGAGCAAACAGG